GAUGAACGCUGGCGGCGUGCCUAAUACAUGCAAGUCGAGCGAACAGAUGAGGAGCUUGCUCCUCUGACGUUAGCGGCGGACGGGUGAGUAACACGUGGAUAACCUACCUAUAAGACUGGGAUAACUUCGGGAAACCGGAGCUAAUACCGGAUAAUAUAUUGAACCGCAUGGUUCAUUAGUGAAAGACGGUUUUGCUGUCACUAAUAGAUGGAUCCUCGCCGCAUUAGCUAGUUGGUAAGGUAACGGCUUACCAAGGCAACGAUGCGUAGCCGAACUGAGAGGGUGAUCGGCCACACUGGAACUGAGACACGGUCCAGACUCCUACGGGAGGCAGCAGUAGGGAAUCUUCCGCAAUGGGCGAAAGCCUGACGGAGCAACGCCGCGUGAGUGAUGAAGGUCUUCGGAUCGUAAAACUCUGUUAUUAGGGAAGAACAAAUGUGUAAGUAACUAUGCACGUCUUGACGGUACCUAAUCAGAAAGCCACGGCUAACUACGUG
rnacentral:rRNA from 1 species